rnacentral:rRNA from 1 species
GACGAACGCUGGCGGCGUGCUUAACACAUGCAAGUCGAACGGAAAGGCGCUGCUUUUGUGGGGUUCUCGAUUGGCGAACGGGUGAGUAUCACGUGUGUAACCUGCCCUUGACUUUGGGAGAACUUCAGGAAACUGGGGCGAAUACCGGAUAGAAUCUCCUGCUGCAUGUGGUUGGUUGGAAAGAGUCGGCGGUUGUGGAUGGACUCGAGGCUUAUCAGCUUGUUGGUCGGGUAGUGGCGUACCACGGCUUUGACGGGUAGCCGGCCUGAGAGCGUUACCGGCCACAUUGGGACUGAGAUACGGCCCAGACUCCUACGGGCGGCAGCAGGCGGGAAUAUUGCACAACGGGCCGACGCCUGAUGCAGAAACGCCGCGUGCGGGAUGCCGGCUUUCGAGUUGUAAACAGAUUUCGCCUGUGACGAAGAGUGCGUGACGGUAAUGGGUAAAGAAGCAACGGCUAACUACGUG